GACGAACGCUGGCGGCGUACCUAAUACAUGCAAGUAGAACGCUGAAGCGAGGAGCUUGCUCUUCUUGGAUGAGUUGCGAACGGGUGAGUAACGCGUAGGUAACCUGCCUUGUAGCGGGGGAUAACUAUUGGAAACGAUAGCUAAUACCGCAUAACAAUGGAUGACACAUGUCAUUUAUUUGAAAGGGGCAAUUGCUCCACUACAAGAUGGACCCGCGUUGUAUUAGCUAGUAGGUGAGGUAAUGGCUCACCUAGGCGACGAUGCAUAGCCGACCUGUGAGGGUGAUCUGGCACACUGGGACUGAGACACGGCUCAUACUUCUGCAGGAGGCAGCAGGAGGGACUCUGUGGCAAUGGGGGCAAACCUGACCGAGGUACGCCGCGUGCGUGAAGAAGGUUUUCGGAUCGUAAAGCUCUGUUUUAAGUGAAGAAGCGGAGUGAGCGUUGAAAGUUCACACUGUGACGGUAGCUAAUCAGAAAGGGACGGCUAACUACGUU
rnacentral:rRNA from 1 species